CAUUUGAUCUAUGACACAUUGUUAACACAAAAAUCAGUAAAAUGAGGGUUGAAUUAAUAAAGGCAACCGUAGUAUACCGCUGUGAAACUAUUUCAGAAAAACAAUCUUGAAAAAAAAACGAUAAAGGAAAUAUAUCAAUGUACACGGGCAAAUGAAAACAGUUUUGUUGUAAGUAUUCAGUUCAAAUGGAGAUCGGAAACACGUGCACCCUUUACAAAACAAAUAAUUUUGCUUUUCAUAGUACGAAGAAAUGAACAUUUGUAGUCAUGCCAAAAAUUAUCAAAGCUGGUUUUUAUUAAAAAUAUAGAGACGAGAAAUAACCCUGAAUAAAUAAACAUUAUAUAACAAAUAAGCAUUACAAAUAGUUUCAACAGGUCAAUAAAAAAGCACGACUUGAGAGCACUCGCAGCCACUGACAGCCAGCCAAAAGCCAAAAAUUACCAAUAAUAAAACAAAUCAUGCACUUGAGACUACAAUUAACUAAAACACAUCCAAGAGAUUUGGUAUUUUAACGUCAUGGACAGUAAAAAAAAACCAUAAUUUGUGCAAUGCCAA
rnacentral:lncRNA from 1 species